GACGAACGCUGGCGGCGUGCUUAACACAUGCAAGUCGAACGGAAAGGCCCUGCUUUUGUGCGCUGCUCGAGUGGCGAACGGGUGAGUAACACGUGAGUAACCUGCCCCUGACCUUGGGAUAACUUCAGGAAACUGGGGCUAAUACCGGCUAGGAGCUCCUGCUGCAUGGUGGGGGUUGGAAAGUUUCGGCGGUUGGGGAUGGACUCGCGGCUUAUCAGCUUGUUGGUGGGGUAGUGGCUUACCAAGGCUUUGACGGGUAGCCGGCCUGCGCGGGUGACCGGCCACAUUGGAACUGAGAUACGGCCCAGACUCCUACGGGAGGCAGCAGUGGGGAAUAUUGCACAAUGGGCGGAAGCCUGAUGCAGCAACGCCGCGUGCGGGAUGACGGCCUUCGGGUUGUAAACCGCUUUCGCCUGUGACGAAGCGUGAGUGACGGUAAUGGGUAAAGAAGCACCGGCUAACUACGUG
rnacentral:rRNA from 1 species